CUGAAACAUGAGCUCCUCUGCUCUGAGCCUCUCCAUCAUUUCCUGCUCCCUCAGAGCUAGCUGUCUCACUCGUGC